UCACCCAUUCCUUUCUUCUUCCUAUUCUUAAUUCCUUCUCUUCUUAAGAGAAAAAAAAAAUAACAGAGCUUUAAAACCUAGAUUUAUCAAUCCAUAACUAAGCUUCAAACCUCCACCAAAUUAGUUACAAAUAACGAAUUCAUCGUCCUCGCUCAUCAAUAUUCAAGCGGGAAGCUUCAAAUCUUCGAUCGGCGAAAGUAGACGACGGCUCGAUCGAAGGAACGGUGAAAUAUUUAGAGCUUCAACAAUCAAUCUUGAAGAAACUGAAGUUUAUAUCCAACGAGCUCGAGAGCCUCGGGAUUCGAACGUCAGCAAAACUAAAAGUCAUAAGGAGUUAUAUUUUUGGAAAGCGGUUGACUGUAAAUAGUAUUUUGGCGUGAUCAGACUUCCAUUCCUUCUUCCGGAAGUCAGUAUUUUGUAAUGUAAAGAAAAUGCUAUUUACUUAUAGAGCCGCAGUAGUCUAGUAGUUUAGUGGUAUGGUUUUGCUGUACUGUAAUACUCGUAAAUUUUCAGCGUUUUUCCGACAA